rnacentral:rRNA from 1 species
GUGCCAGCCGCCGCGGUAAGACGUAGGAGGCGAGCGUUAUCCGGAUUCACUGGGCGUAAAGCGCAUGUAGGCGGAUGUCUAAGUCGUGUGUUAAAGCCCCUGGCUCAACUGGGGGAGGUCAUGCGAGACUGGAUGACUUGAGGGCAACAGAGGCACGUGGAACUCCCGGUGUAGCGGUGGAAUGCGUAGAGAUCGGGAAGAACACCCGUGGCGAAGGCGGCGUGCUGGGUUGCAACUGACGCUGAGAUGCGAAAGUGUGGGGAGCAAACGGGAUUAGAUACCCUCGUAGUCC